rnacentral:rRNA from 1 species
CCUACGGGCGGCAGCAGUGGGGAAUAUUGGACAAUGGGGGCAACCCUGAUCCAGCCAUGCCGCGUGUGUGAAGAAGGCCCUCGGGUUGUAAAGCACUUUCAGUGAGGAAGAACGCCUGGUGGUUAAUACCCAUCAGGAAAGACAUCACUCACAGAAGAAGCACCGGCUAACUCCGUGCCAGCAGCCGCGGUAAUACGGAGGGUGCGAGCGUUAAUCGGAAUUACUGGGCGUAAAGCGCGCGUAGGUGGCUUGAUAAGCCGGUUGUGAAAGCCCCGGGCUCAACCUGGGAACGGCAUCCGGAACUGUCAAGCUAGAGAGCAGGAGAGGAAGGUAGAAUUCCCGGUGUAGCGGUGAAAUGCGUAGAGAUCGGGAGGAAUACCAGUGGCGAAGGCGGCCUUCUGGACUGACACUGACACUGAGGUGCGAAAGCGUGGGUAGCAAACAGGAUUAGAUACCCCAGUAGUC